rnacentral:rRNA from 1 species
AGAGUUUGAUCGUGGCUCAGAUUGAACGCUGGCGGCAUGCCUUACACAUGCAAGUCGAACGGCAGCACGGGGGCAACCCUGGUGGCGAGUGGCGAACGGGUGAGUAAUACAUCGGAACGUGUCCUGUAGUGGGGGAUAGCCCGGCGAAAGCCGGAUUAAUACCGCAUACGCUCUACGGAGGAAAGGGGGGGAUCUUAGGACCUCCCGCUACAGGGGCGGCCGAUGGCAGAUUAGCUAGUUGGUGGGGUAAAGGCCUACCAAGGCGACGAUCUGUAGCUGGUCUGAGAGGACGACCAGCCACACUGGGACUGAGACACGGCCCAGACUCCUACGGGAGGCAGCAGUGGGGAAUUUUGGACAAUGGGGGCAACCCUGAUCCAGCAAUGCCGCGUGUGUGAAGAAGGCCUUCGGGUUGUAAAGCACUUUUGUCCGGAAAGAAAACGCCGUGGUUAAUACCCGUGGCGGAUGACGGUACCGGAAGAA